CACGUAGGGUGCGAGCGUUGUCCGGAAUUAUUGGGCGUAAAGAGCUCGUAGGCGGUGUGUCGCGUCGGCCGUGAAAACCUGCAGCUUAACUGUGGGCGUGCGGUCGAUACGGGCAUCACUGGAGUUCGGCAGGGGAGACUGGAAUUCCUGGUGUAGCGGUGAAAUGCGCAGAUAUCAGGAGGAACACCGGUGGCGAAGGCGGCGAUCUGGGUCGAUACUGACGCUGAGGUGCGAAAGCGUGGGGAGCAAACAGG
rnacentral:rRNA from 1 species